GGUAAAUCCAAGGCCCUAAGCACAUGGUUUGGGUUCAUCCUGCCAGGUUCUGCAGCACAUUUGGGGUUGGAUUUCAUCUUUGUAACGCUCAGCCCAAAUGCCUUGACUCCCCUCCCACGUUAACCUUUUGAAGAAAGGAGAUAAGAAAGCUCUGCUCUGAAUUCAGAAGAAAUGCAAUAGCUGCACUGCUGGUCCUUCUCAGAGAAGAUGUAUUUAAGAACCACCUGCUCUGAGAAUAUAAUCUCG
rnacentral:lncRNA from 14 species